GACGAACGCUGGCGGCGUGCUUAACACAUGCAAGUCGAACGAUGAUGCUGGAGCUUGCUCCAGUUGAUUAGUGGCGAACGGGUGAGUAACACGUGAGCAAUCUGCCCUUGACUCUGGGAUAACUGCGGGAAACUGUAGCUAAUACCGGAUACUUUCACCGGAAGGCAUCUUCUGGUGAUGAAAGAAUUUCGGUCAGGGAUGAGCUCGCGGCCUAUCAGCUUGUUGGUGAGGUAACGGCUCACCAAGGCGACGACGGGUAACCGGCCUGAGAGGGUGACCGGUCACACUGGGACUGAGACACGGCCCAGACCCCUACGGGAGGCAGCAGUGGGGAAUAUUGCACAAUGGGCGCAAGCCUGAUGCAGCAACGCCGCGUGAGGGAUGAAGGCCUUCGGGUUGUAAACCUCUUUUAGCAGGGAAGAAGCGAAAGUGACGGUACCUGCAGAAAAAGCACCGGCUAACUUCGUGCCAGCCGCCGCCGUAA
rnacentral:rRNA from 1 species